UUGAUCCUGCCGGACCCCACUGCUAUCGGGAUAGGACUAAGACAUGCUAGUCGCGUGCCUCAGCCAAAACGAGGCACGGCACACAGCUCAGUAACACGUGGCUAAUCUGCCCUUGGGAUAGGAAUACCCCCGGGAAACUGGGACUAAUUCCCAAUAGGUGAAGAACUCUGGAAUGAGUCUCCACCAGAAAAGAGCUUACGUUAUGCUCGUAAGUUUCGCCCAAGGAUGAGGCCGCGACCGAUCAGGUUGUUGGCGAGGUAAUGGCUCACCAAGCCUUUUACCGGUGCGGGCCGUGGGAGCGGGAGCCCGGAGAUGGGUACUGAGACAAGGACCCAGGCCCUACGGGGCGCAGCAGUCGCGAAAACUUUGCAAUAAGCGCAAGCUUGACAGGGCUAUCCCGAGUGCCAUCCGCUGAGGAAGGCUUUUACCCAGUCUAGAACGCUGGGGGAAUAAGGAGAGGGCAAGUCUGGUGUCAGCCGCCGCGGUAAUACCAGCUCUCCGAGUGGUGUGGAUGUUUAUUGGGCCUAAAGCAUCCGUAGCUGGCUAAGUUAGUCCCCUGUUAAAUCCACCGAAUUAAUCGUUGGAUCGCGGGGGAUACUGCUUGGCUAGGGGACGAGAGAGGCAGACGGUAUUUUCGGGGUAGGGGUGAAAUCCUAUAAUCCCGGGAAGACCACCAGUGGCGAAGGCUGUCUGCUAGAACGCGCCCGACGGUGAGGGAUGAAAGCUGGGGGAGCGAACCGGAUUAGAUACCCGGGUAGUCCCAGCUGUAAACGAUGCAGGCUAGGCGUUUGGACGGCCACGUGCCGUUCUAGUGCCGCAGGGAAGCUGUUAAGCCUGCCGCCUGGGGAGUACGAUCGCAAGAUUGAAACUUAAAGGAA
rnacentral:rRNA from 1 species